rnacentral:rRNA from 1 species
GGAGGGAGUACAUAGCAACAUCAGAACUGUUAAUCAAAAUAUUUCUUAAGUUUAGGCAACUCUUUUGUAAAUUGAAAGCUAAUCUUUUGGUCUAGUGUGUAUUCUAGCCCUUCUACUAAAGUGUAAGUGCAUAAUUAUCAUAACUCUUGGAAUUUUCCAAAAUCGUAUGGCACGCCGAAAUCAUACUCCAUGCUGUGUCAAAUAACCACAUUCAUUCCUUUCACCAAUCGAUUGUGGUGGAACGCCAAAAAAAUUUGUACGGGUCCAUAUGAUUAAAAACAUGCAUAAAAAGGAAUCAUUUAGAAGUGUGCCUGAAAAGUAACGUGCAAGCUAUAGAACUUAGUUACGAAUAAGGGAAAUCCUAAGUGCUAAAAUGUAAAAUGACCAAAGAGAUAAGGUUAUCCUGCCAUGCUCUCUCUGCUCUUGUGCGGCACACCAUUUAGAUAGCGUUGGCUCGCCGCAGAGACAUCGCCGGCUCGCCACCGUGAGUUAUAGAGGUGGCGGGAGCAGCGAAGGGGCCGAGCGCUGCCGUGUGUCGUGCGACAGCCACACCGUAGGUAGCCACUCACGGCAACUACGCGCACGCACGCACCGGCCGCCGUCGCGCCGCGAGCUUCGCCUGUCCGCGCACUGCCGCAACCACACGUGAGUUCUUCCAACACGCACCGCCCAUGGUCGACCUGUGAGCCACACAUGCACCGCCGCGAAGCGCUGCUUGAUCCCCUCCAUGGACUCGUGCUCGCCGUCGCAGUCCGUCGCCCUAGCCGCGGAGAGGGCCAAGAUCCGUGGAGCUGCUCGUGGAGUGAGUAUAUCGUCCCCGUGCAUGUCUGGUGGGGUAUCGUUUGGUUGGGGCGUUGGGCGGCAGGGAUGGCGAAUUCCUCCUCAGGUGUCGGCGUGUCGCAGGUGGUGCAGCUCCUAUGUUUCUAGAAAUAAAACUUAUGAUUAUAUAUUAUCAUCUAAGGUGAAAUGUUGAAAGGGCUCUUGGAUUGUUUGCCUCGCUUAGGGUGGUGCGGUCUUAUAUUUCAAGAAAUAAAAUCUCAUGGUCAUAUGCUAUCAGUUAAGGUGAAUCCAUGAAAGGCCGCCUGAAUUGUAUGCCUUGCUCAGGUUGUCCAGCAGGUUCACUGAACUCUGCAUCAGCAAAAUGUAUCUGAAACCCACACCCCGAUUAGUUCCAACUGCGACGGGCGGCGGGCGGCGCAGUGCUCCGUUGCGUCCUGAGCAGGGGCGUGCCGCCGGCUAGCAUCGGUCUCCGGAGGACGUGCACGAACGCGCCCGCGACGGUGCUGGCCGUGCUGGGAUCGGGAACCUCCUCAAUGAUGCCGCAUUAAUUGCGCCAAGUAGAAACCGGAUUCACGGCCUCUACCAGUAUCUCCGGAGUCGUUAUAAUCACCUGCCUUUUCUGGCUAAUCACGGCCUCAAGUACUGUUUUAAACCGCAACUAGCAGCCUACAGCAUCAUCUGUUUGGCGCCAAGGCAGACUGAUGCAAGAUUACGGAGCUUAAUAAGCCUAGUGCCUACUGCCUAGGCACUAGGUAGCACUCAUGGCGGCCGCCGCGUUCGGGAGAGACGGACGAAUCCGCCUCCGCCUCCGCCUCCGGCGGACAGAAGCCUGCGUCGCGUACUCUACCUAUAUAUACCGGCCGCUUCGCCGGAGAGCUCCAUCCAGCCAGCCAAGCCAAGCCAAGCCAAGCGGGUCUGAUCGGAGGAGCAGAGGAAGAAGCAAAGCACGCGCACCGCCGGUCUGCAGCCACGAUGGCCCGCCGCAAGGUCCCCAUGAGGCUCAUCGAAAAGGCGCGGGCGCGCGCCGAGACGCACGCCAGGAGGACCAAGGGGCUGCAGAAGAAGGCGUCCGAGCUCGCCACGCUCUGCGCGGUCCCGGUCGCGCUCGUCUGCGCCGCAGGCGCGGGGGCUCCGCCGCUCGUGUGGGAGUCGGAGGAGGGAGUGCUCGAGAGGUACCGUCGCGCCGUCCCGGCGGAGACCCGCGCGCGGCACACGCACCGGAGCUACAUGGAGACGGAGCUGGGCAAGGAGAGGGCCAAGCUCGCCCGGACACGGCACGGCUGCCCCGGCGCGCUCGCGGACUGGGACGCUGCGCUCAACGACAUGACGCUGGAGGAGGCGCGCGGGCUGCUCGAGACCAUCGACGCGGCGCUGCAAGCCACGGGAGACAGGAUGGAGGCGCUGGGCAUACCUGCCGACGGCGGCCACGGCCCGCUCGAGGGUUCUUCCCACGAAGCCCUCAUGCCGCAGCAGCUUGGGCAGGGUGGCGGCAACCACAUGGAGGCCGCCGGCUUCCAGCAGCUGCAGAUGGUGCCGUUCCACGCUGGGAGCAACGAGGGCCUACUCGAGCAAUUCUCAUGGGACGAUCCCUUCCGGACGCAGUCAGGGUGCGUCGGCGGCAACUACUCGGGCGGCGGCGACGCGAUGCUCUCGCAAGGCCACGCCAAUGCCGGCUACAAUUACUCGGCCGGCGGUGACGAGAUGCUCACGCUAGGCCUCGCCAAUGUUGACAACAGCUACUCGGGCGGCGGCGACAAGAUGCUCGCGUCGGGCUUCGCCAAUUCUGACUACAACUACUCGGCCGGCGGCGACGAGAUGCUCACGCUAGGCCUCGCCAAUGCUGACUACAACUACUCGGCCGGCGGCCACAAGAUGCUCCCGUCGGGCUUCGCCAAUGCUGACUACAACUACUCGGGCAGUGGCGACGAGAUGCUCACGCCCGGCUUUGGCAAUGCUGACUACAACUGGGCUGAUCUGACCAUGUGGGCCACCGAUGAGUUGUGCGAUGCAGUCAUGCCACUUGGGUGCUACCCUGACUUCGCCGACGGUACUCUGCCGCCCGAUUACUACGCUCGGGUCGUCACUGAAUGGGGACUACGUCAACACACCACCAUCUGGCGGGUACGGGUACACCAUGGCCAUGGGCGUGGGCGACAACUUCACUCAUCUCGACAGCAACUACAUGGCGCACUGGCAUUCGACACAAGUAGUCUGUUGCUAGGCGAAAUGCAGUCGUAGUUUUCGAGCUAGAAUAUUUUAAUUCUCACACAUGUGAAGUUAGAAUUUUGCAGAAUUAUAUGAUUUAUCAAUAUUACGUGCAUGAUUUUGUACGGAAAUUUUGAAACAUUAACCAUCAGUUAUGGAAUUUUCACGAAAAGAGUAUGAGCUCCUCUUCACAAAGUUUCCUUUUUUGGAUAACGCUUCACAGUUCAC